GCACACCCAUGAGUGUGGUCUCCUCCAUAACACCUCCUGACACUCAUGUGAGACAAAGGAAUAUUUCAGGACUCCAAUGAACACACAUUUCAUUGUCAUGGUUUUCCCUCAUCCUGUUAAGUAAAAUGUAAUAGUUCCAUCCAGUGGUCUUCCCCAGCAUUGCAGAACAGAGAUCAGAAAGUAAAGCGAAGACAUCUUUGCACCAAACUAAUUGCAAAAAUGACCUAACAUCAAUGGGAAGGGCAGAAAUGACUUCCUGAACUCACACACAUCCAGAGGAUCCAAUACAGAAGUCACUAUGCUAAAAAACGCAAAAGCACAGACAAAGAGACUCUCUCCUAGGAUCUCUCAAGCAUUGUUUAUGUCCCCCAAAUGUUUCAGCUGGAAGUGUCAAUUCCAGAUGUAUUGGUCACAGAUGACUGACAGCAACUUCUGUAGCUCAGAUACAACUGGGAAAUAAAAAGCAUAACAUUUUU